rnacentral:rRNA from 1 species
UACGGAGGGUGCGAGCGUUGUCCGGAAUCACUGGGCGUAAAGGGCGCGUAGGCGGCCUGAUAAGUCGGGGGUGAAAUCUUGCGGCUUAACCGCAAGGCUGCCUUCUAAACUGUCAGGCUAGAGCACAGUAGAGGCAGGUGGAAUUCCCGGUGUAGCGGUGGAAUGCGUAGAGAUCGGGAAGAACACCAGUGGCGAAGGCGACACGCUGGGCCGUACCUGACACUGAUGCGCGACAGCAUGGGGAGCAAACAGG